AUGCUUAACACAUGCAAGUCGAACGGAAACGACAACAUUGAAUCUUCGGAGGAUUUGUUGGGCGUCGAGCGGCGGACGGGUGAGUAAUGCCUAGGAAAUUGCCUUGAUGUGGGGGAUAACCAUUGGAAACGAUGGCUAAUACCGCAUAAUGCCUACGGGCCAAAGAGGGGGACCUUCGGGCCUCUCGCGUCAAGAUAUGCCUAGGUGGGAUUAGCUAGUUGGUGAGGUAAUGGCUCACCAAGGCGACGAUCCCUAGCUGGUCUGAGAGGAUGAUCAGCCACACUGGAACUGAGACACGGUCCAGACUCCUACGGGAGGCAGCAGUGGGGAAUAUUGCACAAUGGGCGCAAGCCUGAUGCAGCCAUGCCGCGUGUAUGAAGAAGGCCUUCGGGUUGUAAAGUACUUUCAGUUGUGAGGAAGGGGGUAACGUUAAUAGCGUUAUCUCUUGACGUUAGCAACAGAAGAAGCACCGGCUAACUCCGUGCCAGCAGCCGCGGUAAUACGGAGGGUGCGAGCGUUAAUCGGAAUUACUGGGCGUAAAGCGCAUGCAGGUGGUUCAUUAAGUCAGAUGUGAAAGCCCGGGGCUCAACCUCGGAACUGCAUUUGAAACUGGUGAACUAGAGUGCUGUAGAGGGGGGUAGAAUUUCAGGUGUAGCGGUGAAAUGCGUAGAGAUCUGAAGGAACACCAGUGG
rnacentral:rRNA from 1 species